CACAUGGUUAGCAUGACCUUCUCUUGGUUCUACUGACCUCCUUUGAGGGUGUUGGCCCACUACUAAUUGAUGUUGCCCCCAUGCAUUGGGCUUUCAUGGAUAGUUGUAGAUCCAUGUUCUUUUUGAGAGAUGUGGACACUAAUUGGUGCUCGGGCCAAACAAACAAUUUAUUCUUCCCGGAAUUUAUUCUUUGUGGUUUGUGCAGCAGCCUUAUAUGUAUCGACAUGAAUUCUAUUAAGUCUUCAUGGGUAUCUGGGACCUGGUAGACUUAGUGGGACUUACGAGUAGGAAUGGGAGAAAGGGGCAGCAUGAUCUUACUAUGCAGACUGUAUUUCCAGAAACCUGCUCAGCCAGCUCCUGAUGGAGAACACAUGUAGGAAGAAGUUGGUCCCACUGAAGCAGGAGAGCAAGGAGGUACAUCUUGAUUGUGCACUGAAGCAGAAAUAUUUGGUUGACUUCAACAAGAAAGAUAAAGACCAGCAACGUCCAGACCCAGCAUCAUCUGGUCUCAGAAAGUGCAAGAGAGCUGGAAUUGGACACACCCCAGUAAGAGAGCUUCCUGAAGAAUAAGUUGCUUUCUCAGGAGUCCCUGAUGACAAACAUCCUGAAUGAAAACAGCACCUGAGAGACAACUUGGGGGACAGCCUUUCAUUAUGUGUGCAAGAGGAGAAACAGCAAUACAUCUGUG
ensembl:lncRNA